rnacentral:lncRNA from 1 species
UACACUUCAUUCGGUAUUCCAUAGUAUGACGUUGUAUAGUUGAUCAACAUCAGUUCCUGAGCUAAGGCUGAUUCAUCUAUCGAGCACAUAAAUGUGUUAAGAAAGUAAAGAAUUCCUUGUGUAACGCCUACUACACUAUUAUUUAAGGUCAAUAGUUGGUUUUGAACUUAGUGUCAUUGUUCAUGCCAUUCAGCUGUUACAUGGCUGAUUAAAUGUUUUGUUGGCUAAGUUCCUUUGUUGUGACCAUGGCCCUGUUUGGAUAAAGAACUUAGGGGUGUGUUUGGUUUGCAAAACAACAAGUACUGGACAGAACAGUACAAGAUAGAACAGUACAACACAAGGCAGAACAGCACAGGACAAAAUUUUUAUGGCAUUGAGUAAUUUUUUGUUUUAUACGAUUUUUGAGGGACAAAAUGCUAUUUUGGUAUUUUAGACAACUUGUGCGUGGGACAAAAAGUUGUGCUGUGGUUUGGUGAGGGUCAAAAAUAUGAGUUUUUGUCCUGUCCCUUGCCUCCAGUUUGUCCUGUACCUGAAACAGUUUUACAAAUCAAACACUGGACAACUAGAGUUGUUCUGUCCUGUCCUUCAUUUUUUAGCAAAUCAAACGCACCCUAGGUAAGUUUUUAUAGCAUAAACACUUAUCAUAUAAGUGCUUAUGUAUAAACUUUUUCUAUAGCUAAAGAUAAAAUAAAGUCAGACUGUUUUCGUAUAAGCUGUUUCCAAAAAACUAUUAUGGAGAGCUUAUGAGUAUGUUAGUUGUUUCUGUAAGCUCUACCAAACAAUUUCACAAGUGUUUAUACUGUAGAUAAACUCGAAUAAACCAAUCCAAACGGGCCCUAUGUCAUGUUAUCUUGAGCUUUAAGAUAGAUAUAUAUAUAUAAUUGCGAAAUGAAGGAAGAUCUCUUGCCUUCGAUAUCCAAAUAAUUCUUGUGUUUUUAUUUCUAGUAUACUCUCAAGAAUACAUAAUAAUCUUGCUAAAUUUGAGAAAGAAUGCCUACUUAUUUUAUUUUGUAAGUGAAGGUUGUUAACAUUUUCAUCAUUUAAAAAUCAGUG